GCCGGGGUGGCGAAAUGGCAGACGCGGCGGACUUAAAAUCCGCUUCCCGCAAGGGAGUGCGGGUUCAAAUCCCGCCCCCGGCA
rnacentral:tRNA from 1 species